rnacentral:rRNA from 1 species
UUAUUGAAUGAACUUCUGGCCGGAUGCUGUUGUGCUGGCCCUUUGGUGCAAUGUGCACACGCCUCUGGUCGUCUGUUUCUUCUGUUCCACCUGUGCACUGCCUGUAGACACUUUUGUGUCUAUGAUAUUGGUUACACACACAUUGAUGUUUUGUAUAUUGGUUACAUAUGUAUGAUAAUAUAUAUAUAACUUUCAACAAUGGAUCUCUUGGCUCUCGCAUCGAUGAAGAACACAGCGAAAUGUGAUAAGUAAUGUGAAUUGCAGAAUCCAGUGAAUCAUCGAAUCUUUGAACGCAUCUUGCGCUCCUUGGCAUUCCGAGGAGCAUGCCUGUUUGAGUGUCAUUAAACUAUCAAAAUACCCCUUUCCUGGGGUGUUUUGGACUUUGGGAGUACUGUGCUGGCUUGUUUGAGCCAGCUCUCCUCAAAAGCAUUAGCUUUGGAGACCAUCAGUGUGAUAACUCUGUUUACACUGACUGAGUGUGUCUCUGCUUCUUAAAUAUGCUGGAUACCCUUUGACCUCAAAUCAGGUAGGACUACCCGCUGAACUUAAGCAUAUCAAUAGGCGGAGGAA